rnacentral:rRNA from 1 species
UACGGGGGGGGCAAGCGUUGUUCGGAAUUACUGGGCGUAAAGGGCGCGUAGGCGGUCUGUCGCGUCUGCUGUGAAAACUCGGGGCUUAACCCCGGGCCUGCAGUGGGUACGGGCAGACUAGAGUGCGGUAGGGGAGACUGGAAUUCCUGGUGUAGCGGUGAAAUGCGCAGAUAUCAGGAGGAACACCGGUGGCGAAGGCGGGUCUCUGGGCCGUAACUGACGCUGAGGAGCGAAAGCAUGGGGAGCGAACAGG